UAGUCAUAUGCUUGUCUCAAAGUGUCUAAGUAUAAACAAGUUUUAUACUGUGAAACUGCGCACAGCUCAUUAUAUCAGCAAUAAUUUAUUUGAUGGUACCUUACUACAUGGAUACCCGUAGUAAUUCUAGAGCUAAUACAUGCGUAAAGUCCCGACUCUUCUGGGAAGGGAUGUAUUUAUUAGAUAAAAAACCAAUGGCUUCGGCCUUCUUUGGUGAUUCAUAGUAACUGUUCGAAUCGCAUGGCCUCGUGCUGGCGAUAGUUCAUUCAAAUUUCUG
rnacentral:rRNA from 1 species